AAAGCGUGCGCAGGCGGUUCGGAAAGAAGGAUGUGAAAUCCCAGGGCUUAACCUUGGAACUGCAUUCUUAACUACCGGGCUAGAGUAUGUCAGAGGGGGGUGGAAUUCCGCGUGUAGCAGUGAAAUGCGUAGAUAUGCGGAGGAACACCGAUGGCGAAGGCAGCCCCCUGGGAUAAUACUGACGCUCAUGCACGAAAGCGUGGGGAGCAAACAGGAUUAGAUACCCCUGU
rnacentral:rRNA from 1 species